UACGUAGGGGGCAAGCGUUGUCCGGAAUCAUUGGGCGUAAAGAGCGCGUAGGCGGCCCGAUAAGUCCGCUGUGAAAGUCAAGGGCUCAACCCUUGAAUGCCGGUGGAUACUGUCGGGCUAGAGUCCGGAAGAGGCGAGUGGAAUUCCCGGUGUAGCGGUGAAAUGCGCAGAUAUCAGGAGGAACACCUACGGCGAAGGCAGCUCGCUGGGACGGUACUGACGCUGAGACGCGAAAGCGUGGGGAGCAAACAGG
rnacentral:rRNA from 1 species